UGGGAUAUCUGUAGCGUCAUCGUCUGUAUUAGGAUUUCCAGGUGAGGGAAUGGCAGUCGUCAAACAAGGUCUUCUAGCAGGAAGGAUACCUGGCUUGUCUGAGCCCGAUGAACAAGGUUAGUACAACAGUUUCAAUACAUCAUGCAUAUGGUAUCAUUACAUUCCCCAGUCACAGCAUCAAAAUUUGUGAAGGAAUUAAAAGGAGAAUUACUGUUUCUUGCAACUACUUCCUAUAUUUGUGAGGAUGAUGAGAAAAAAAUCAUUUUAAUAUCAUUUCUUCAAUCUCUGUGGGUUCCUCUAUAAAUCAAUCUAUUUGAGAUUUCUCAGUUCCUCGAUGAAUGAGCUUAAAAAUAGGCUUUCUUGAAGAACCCCUAUACUGCUUGGUGGGAAAUCUACGAAAUAUUGUAUAUCAUAGGUUGACAGAUUCCCUUAACAAAUCUGGAGGGUUUUGUCUCAUAAUUCUAUCGAGAGUGUUCCAUAUUUGAUUUAGUGGUAUUUGAACUUAUGUACUUGUACAAUAUUGUUAGGUAAGUGAGCUCACCUUAUCUCAAGGAGGGCAUUUUAUGUUUUAUCCUUCACCUGAGAUAAUAGUUAGACCUCAUCACCCAGAAAUUUCGUAGGACACUCUCUUCACUAGGUGCAUGUUCGACCUCUCCUUAAGACAUUUGGCAUAAAACUUGAAACACUUGGUCUGACAAAAUCCUAAUAGAAUCAUUUUCAACUCAGGUAGGCUUCAAAUAUGGACAAUUUGAUCCAAUUCAAGGAAUUUUGUACAUGUUGUAGCGUCACUCUACCUACACAGGGCGAAUUUAGAGGGGGCACGUAGGGCCUUGUCCUCCCCUAAAUUAGAAAAAUUGCUAUGCAAACCACUUCAGAAAUAUUUGAGUUAUAAAUUAAUAUAUGAUCAAAUUUCACUUUGAUCCCAAAAAUAAAAAAUAUAGUAAGUCUCUUUAGAAAAUAAUGAAAUCAUAAAUUAAUAUAUAAUAAAAUUAUAUUUUUACCUCUCAAAAAUUUAUAAUUUAAUUUUAUCCCUUCUAAAAAAUUUCUAAAAUUACCCUUUUACCUACAUCUGAUGAUAUGGACUAUUAGCAUAUCUAAGCCUUAAUCGUAGUUCAACAUGUGACAUCUUGUAAUAAGAGAAGCUUGCAUAUAUAAACUAAGGGCCCGAUGAGAGAGGCAAACAAACUCUAUACCAAGCACUUUCCUGUAAAUACUCAACAACCUCCGAUCUCAAAAUCAGUGCCUCCAUCUGUCCUACUGACUCUUUGCACCUCCGGUUGAACCGUCUUGAAUCACCAUAAAUUCCUUCACGUAUCAACACCAUAUAUUUGACAUAUUUCCAGAGAUGGGAGUCGGAUAUGAUUCUAACCACACACCCAUUUCAAGCACAUGCUAUGUACUUAAGUAACAUAGCCAAAUAGAAACUAAUAAAAGAUGAGGCAUCGUAAAUUUGUGAGAAAGAUAAGCAGACUUUGCUUACACUGAACCAAAAAAAAAAAAAAACAGUGAAUAGAUAGAUGUUAAAGACCUAGGCUAGUAGGGAGAUAGAAGCAGGGCAUAUUCUGUAUUUGUGGUUAUAGUGAAACAUCAUCUUCACCAGCAAACAAUGUGCUCAGACAGGUUGGAGGACUUAUCGAAGACCAGAUGACAAGUCAGGAGGGCAUGGUGUUGGAUGGAGUCCUAUCAUCCCUUAUUCCUUUUCAGUGCCUCAAGAUUUUGAGGAGGUACUCAAUUCAAUUCCAUUAACACAUUCCUCCAUUUCAAUCUCUUGACUCUGAGACUUACUUCCAUUUUAUAUAUCCCUGCAACAGGUUCCUGUAUCUAUAGCAGAUUUAGGCGGUACAGAGAUUGACUUGAGGUUUGCUAGCUCGAAAGAAGGACGAUUGUUUGUCAUUGUUGCACCUGUUCUUAGAUUUGCUGACAGUAAGAUUUCCCAAAUACUUAAAGAGUGCUCCUCUCUUUUCACUUCCAUGCCUACUUAAAAACAUAUGAAACUUGUCUGUCUUGUUAUUGUAUAUAGAUCUUGGUGACGAUGCCACGAUUCAGAAGAUCGGACCUCCGGAGAAGGUGAUCAGUGCAUUUGGACCAGAAGUGAUCGGUGAAAACGUAGAAGGCAAGGUUCUAAGCAUGAACACAGUGGAGCAUGAUGGCAGAAUGUAUUACCAAUAUGAAUUGGAGCCACCCCAUGUACUGAUUACCGCAACUGCAGCUGGUAAUCGCCUUUACCUAUUCAGUGUAACCGGAAGUGGUAUGUACUUGUAUCUUACCCCUCAGUACUGUUUUUUUUCCAAAUCUGUAAUCUUUGAAAGCUUGUUCAACAUGCAUUACCUAUAUUGCUUCAAGUUUUAAUUAUUUUUGCUAUUUUCAACAGGUCUUCAAUGGAAAAGGCAUUACCAGGAUUUAAAGAGGAUAUCCGAGUCUUUUCGUGUAGUCUAGUUUUGGAUCUCCCUGGAUUAUGACAUGAGUAGAUUAGUAGUGAUGGAUAUUUUUACUCUGUAAUUUAAAGUUGCAACAAAAACAAAGAGUGUAUUUGCAGCACAGGUAUAAAAUGUGCAACUUUCUUCAAAGUAAGAUUUUUGCAGAAAAGCUAUACAGCUUGCUAGAAGCCACUUAUCUGAACUUGGGAUAAGUGUCAGAUCUGUGUAUAUCUCCAUUGCGGAUGUACUCUAUAUAUUUAAAAGAUCAUAGUCUCAUUUUUCAUAUCAAGUGUGUUGAACUUGAAUGCCUUUGGACUCAACUAAUAAUUUGGUUACUAUUGUUGAAAAAAUUGAAUGAAUCGAUUCGAUCGUGUCCUUAAGGAUAAUUUCUCCUUAGGGGUGAUAUGAAUCACACAUAGGAUCUCAUGGUGUAGUGGUGAAGGGUGUGCUUGAGUCAUUUGAAUUGGAUAUUUCAUCAUUUAUUGCAAGUUUUCUCUCUUUCUGUAAUGUGCUAGGUUAAGAAGCAUGUAUAACCUAGGAUGAAAGAUAAAUGUUAACUACAAAAAAAAAAAAAAAAAAAAUGGAGGCCUUUGAUUAUUGUUGCAAUUUCAGUGAGAGAAUUCUAAUUGAGCCACAACCAACCUAUGCAUGACAUUGCCCAUUGAAAGCUAAUUUUACCCUCAAAUAUCUCCAAAUCAACCACACUGAGAGAGACUUGAUUUUCUAUAUCUUUUCAUGUAUAGUAAGGUUUUUAAAGUUGUGGUAUCCUAAUAACCAUAUCCAAACAUUUGGAAAAAAAAAAAUGAAGGUUGGGAUUAACAUAGCACCGGCCAUUGGUUUGAGAAAGAAAAUACAAGUGGAGUUGUUGAAAUGUAGACAAAAUUACAUUCUAUCCUGAUUUGCUUACUUGUAAUGUAAGAUUGCAACUCUUUCGUAGGGAAAGACCAUGAGAAAAAGCAAAAGGCAAUUGCAUGUUGAUUAAUUCAAUCACAACCUAGUGUCACGGGUGGUAGAUCAUUUGAUUCAUUUGAAUUGACUCAAUUUGUGGAUUAAAUAGAAUUUAAGUCCCUUGAGACUUUCAAUUGUUGAUAAACUCUAAUAUUGACUAUUAAUGUAAUUCAAUUUAUACAGUUAAAUUUGUAGAAGCUCAACUAUAACUAGAAUUAUCAGGUAAAUGCAUUAUUUUCUUAUGGCUGUCCAAUUCUCUCAUUGCUCUUUUCUUUCAACUUCACUUCCACUAUAUUUUUCGUUGUCAUAGGAAAUUUUCAGGAUUUUUGUCCUUUUUUGAAUGUUAAUCUAAUUUAAACAGAUUUAAAAUAAAGAAAUUAUCUAACUCGCGCGAUUUGUCAAAUUAAAAUUCUAACUUGUAACAAUUUUAUUGGAUUUUUUUUUAUCUACAAAUAUAUGUAAUCUGGAUAUAUGAAAAAGGAAAAUGAGAAUGGGAGGGGAGGGGAGGGGAGGGGAUAAUUCCAAAUAUAAAAGGCAUAAAUUCCAUUAAUCAAGAUAAACCUGUUUUUGGUAAAGGGCAGCCAACAUUUGGAAUGGUUUUGGGGUUGUAAAGAUACGACACGUGAACAUGACAUGCGUCUGUUCUAACCUGCAAAUUAUAUAAAAUAAAUAAAACUUUGGGUGGUAAUGGAUGAAAUUGGAAAUAAUUGAGAGAUGACAAAACUCAAAAAAGAGUUGGUUUAUGGAGGGAGAGGUUCUCCAUCCUCUCUCUUUUCAC
rnacentral:lncRNA from 1 species